UACGGAGGGUGCAAGCGUUAUCCGGAUUUACUGGGUUUAAAGGGUGUGUAGGCGGGUCUUUAAGUCCGUGGUGAAAUCUCCGAGCUUAACUUGGAAACUGCCAUUGAUACUAUUGAUCUUGAAUUCUGUUGAGGUAGGCGGAAUAAGUCAUGUAGCGGUGAAAUGCAUAGAUAUGACUUAGAACACCAAUUGCGAAGGCAGCUUGCUAAACAGAUAUUGACGCUGAGGCACGAAAGCGUGGGGAUCAAACAGG
rnacentral:rRNA from 1 species